UUAAACUUGUCUCUACCCUUUUUGUCGCUCUGACGCGCCCUUACAGCCAAACCUACGUACUCCACCCCAGCUCCUAAGGCACCGGAUAUACACAGUGAUCUAAGGAGAGGGUCGCUUUGGAAAGAAAAGGCAUUGACUGCCCAAGGGCAGGAGGGAGGUCUGAUGCGGUCUCCUUUCCUUUACCUUAUUCUUUGCGCCUGAAGUUUCUACUUUGGAGCUUCAGAAACUAUUUUCCUUCUCCUCUAUCAAUCUAAAGUCUGUUAUAUAGGAGCAGUGCCCCCAAGUCCACCUCAGCACCGCCACCGUCAUCACAAGCACAGCCAUCAGGAUUGGGCACAACCUGCCCUAAUUUGGAUCGCCGUUUAUUUUUACUGUUGUUUUGGCAGGGUGGGGAUUGCUUUACAUUCGCUGGAGAUGAAUUAUAAUUCUCCCCUCCAACCAGGGUGGGCUUCAUGGGUGUGCGACUAUGCAGUUGUAUAGGCCACAGCUCAUAAGACCCGUGUUUGGUUUAAUAUUCUGGGACAAUAGUCUACUGUCGCUGUUUUGUUCUUCUUCAUAAUUUUUAAUCAAGGAGUCUCACAUUUGUAUUUUGCAAUGGGCCACGCAGAUAAUGUAGUCAGCUUUGCCUCUCUCUUCGCCACUUCCCUAGACUUUCCCCUUCCUCUGCAAUGUUCAUCUAUAAUUGUUCAUCAGACCAGGCUAAAUAAGGAUAAUGGCACAAAAGAAAAAUAAGACCCAAAUGGAGACAUCAACCACAGACACCUGGCAAAAAAUCUUCUGCUAAAACCUGAUUUUGUGACAAAAUGCUGCCUUAUCUUGCUGAUGAUUUCAUGGACAAUAAAAGGAAAGAAGGUAAACUUGUUAACCUAAUUUUUCACCAAGAAGAAAAACUAAUUUGUUCUUUAAGAAACCAAAUUUCGGCCGGGCGCAGUGGCUCAUGCCUAUAAUCCUAGCACUUUGGGAGGCGGAGGCAGGUGGAUCACAAAGUCAGGAGUUUGAGACCAACCUGGCCAACGUGGUGAAACCCUGACUCUAAUAAAAAUACAAAAAAUUAGCCGGGCGUGGUGUCAGGCACCAGUAAUCCCAGCUACUUGGGAGGCUGAGGCAGGAGAAUC
rnacentral:lncRNA from 1 species